rnacentral:tRNA from 1 species
AUGUUAUAUUAAAGUGGCAAAGUUUAAAUGCAAGGAUUUA